rnacentral:misc_RNA from 1 species
CAAGAAACCAAGAUUGUGAAACACAUCAAGACUUGCAACCGACAAUCACAACAAAUAAGCACAUUAUACAUAAGCAUUGAAUUGUCAAAAUACAAAUUAGAUAUAUCAGUUAAAGUACUAUGAUCCCAGAGAUAUCAUUAACGCAUUGGCAAUUAAGUCGAAAAAGAUAUCAACCCACCACCGAGAAGUAUAAUCAGAAAAAUAGAUAAACUUGUAGACCUGAUACCUGUUCUUCCAUCAUGGAACCAG